UUGCUGUUCCCAUCUCAUUCCUUUCCCUCUUCCACGCGUCAUCAUUCUGCUCCUGAGUGGCUCGCUUGUGGGCGUGCUGGCAGGAUAUGGCAUCGUCUUCGGUUGUGCGUCAAGAAUUCUGCAUACAAAAGCAAGUUUGUAUGAAGGUAUGGUUAUUCACAGGCACAUUGUUAUAUGCUAUGGAGGUACAUUUGUGUAUUUUUGUCAAGAGAACUUUUUUAUUUUCAAUCAAAAAUAAUUGUUUUGAAAGCAACUUUUUUCCGACAGAAGUCAAAGCGAACACCUACGAUGAUGGCAUCUCAGAGAGCGAGCUGACCAAGGGCUCGAAAAUGUAGAUAUACCAGAUGUUCACUAUCCGAGGAACAGGCCGUGGAAGCUUUAUUGCUGGUAAAAGUGUCCAUAACCAGAGGGUUAUAUCAGCUGUUUUGGUGAAGCCCUCCUGCAUCUGAACUGGCUGACACAGAGGGCACAGCAUGAUCAUAGGUCUGAAGGUAUGUUUUGAUGUGAGAGAGGAAGCCAGUCCCGUCAUCGCCACCUCACCCCCUCUUAAGAUAACCUUUGGGCCAACUGGGGGCCCAAGACUGGUUAGGAGAAACCGCAAUUGUGAUGAACUGAGAGAAUAUUAGGGUAGCACUGUAAUUCAUGAAUCAUAUGCUGUCUGCCGCUUUUCUUAACUCUUUCCCUUUCUGUCUUCUACACCUCUCUCCCCACCUCAUCUUUCUUCCUCAUUUUAUAAUGCACACCAAAUGUGCAUUGAAGUACAGAAUGAACUUGUAUUGAUAAUAUUACAAUUAUCAUAAUUAUAAUGCACUUAUGUAUUUCUAACACCUGGAUAAUGAACUUCUUUCAAUAAAGCGA
rnacentral:lncRNA from 1 species